AUGAGACGGAGUCUAGCCCUUGUCGCCCAGGCUGGAGUGCAGUGGCACGAUCUCGGCUCACUGCAACCUCCGCCUCCCGGUUUCGAGCGAUUCUCCUGCCUCAGCCUCCCUAGUAGCUGGGAUUACAGGCACCUGCCACCACACCUGGCUAAUUUUUGUGUUGUUAGUAGAGACGGGGUUUCACCAUGUUGGCCAGGCUGGUAUGGAACUCCUGACCUCAGGUAAUCCACCCGCCUCGGCCUCCUAAAGUGGUGGGGUUACACGUAUGAGCCACCGCGCCCGGCCUCAAGUCUUAAUCAUUCUUUUUCUGUCCUUUAAAGGAGACGUGUCUUUAGGAAGCAGAGAGGGUUCGAUUCUGGACUCCGCCCAUGACUCACUUCUCUUGUAAAGAAAGAGUUGUCCUUCCUGGUACUCCAGGUACCCUACUGUUUUCUUAUGGACUUUGCCCUUAACGAGUCUCCUUUCCUUCUGUUACUCUCAACCUUUCCUUCUCUACCGGCUCUUUCUUACUGGUAUUUAAACAUGCUUAAGUCUUUCAAUUCUUUAAAAAGAUUUCUCUUCUCCCUAAAUUGCUCUCCAACAACUGCAGCUGUCUCUUACCCCAUGGACAGUCUUUCAUGUCCCACCUCCCAGCCCUCUCCAGUGUCCCCACCGCUCACCUGAAGUGGCUCUGAAUUGUCCACAGACAAGCUUCAUGACUGUAAAUGCAGCGGAUCAUUUUCAGUCCUCAUUUUACAAGCCCUCAUCCCAGUAUUUGACGCGAUUGACCACAGUUGCUUCCAAAUACCCUCUUCCCUCUGGUCUUAUGUCCCAGGUUUCCUCCCUACCUGAGUUUGCUCUUUAACAACCAGCUCCUCCUUGAUCUACCUCUUACACAUUGGAAUCAUGCUGAGCUGAACCCUGGCCCUCUUACUGAGUCUCCCCAUACACUUUCCUAGGUGGUCUUAUGCUCUCCCAGCAGCAUCAAAUACCCUCUGUCAAAGACUCUUCAAUCCAUAACUCAAGCCUAGAUCUUGCUCUGGAAUCCUACAUUCAUAGUUCCCAGCAUACUGCCUUUGGUACACUUUCAUUUGGAUGACUUAGGGCAUUUCAAACUCAACCCGUAUAUCAUAAUUCCUUCAAAACGCUCCUCCCAUAGUCCCUGGUUCAGUAAAGGGUAUCUUAACAUCUACCCAGUUCAUGCCAGAAACCUAGCACACCUCCAACACACAGCAGAAUCACCUACAUCUGUCUGCUCCCUGGAAAAUUGGAUUUGUGACCUCUCUCUGUUCCCAUGACCAUUUUUUCAUUCCCAUUCUAGUCUAAACCACUGUUGCCUCUUGCUUGAAGUCCCACAGUAACCCAUUCAGGUCCUCCAAAACUGCUCUUGCCUCGUUCCAAUACAUUUGCCAUACUGCUGCCAGAGUAAUUUUUUAAAUAUAAAUCUGAUCAUUGACCUGCUUAAAUUCCUCCAGUGGUCUCCCUUUGCUUACCACACAUUGUCUAAGCUCCAUUAUCUGUACUUGUCUUUCUCUCCAGCCUCUCCAUCUGUCCCCCUAGCUGCCUGCACUCCUGCCAUAGUAUUUUAAUUUUUUCCAGGCUCUCCUCUUUUUAUUCCCUACUGUAGGCUCUCACUUCAGGGCAUUUACACAUGCCCUUCCCUUCCCCUGGAAUUUUUUUCUGUCACCCAUUCCUCCUACUUAACUGUAACUUAUCACUUUCUUUUCCAAUUCCUACUUCUCAUUAUUUGUUUAGUGUCCAUGUAAUUGUGCAGGUAAGGACCACGUCUGUCUUGUUCACUACCAGCUUUUCCUCUCCCUAGCAACAGCACAAUGUCUAGAAUAUAGUGGUACUUGUUAGGUAUUUAUCGAAUAAAUAGUGAAUUUCUGAGUGGUCCCGGGCAAAGUUUUCUCAACAUUUGAAUUCAAAUCCUGGCUCUCAGUGAGUUCAGGUUGCCGUAGUAAAGUACCAUAUAGACUGGUGGCUUAUAAACAACAGAAAUGUAUUUCUCAUAGCUCUGGAGGCUGGAUAUCUGAAAUCAGGCUGCCAACAUGGUCAGGUUCUGGUGAAGGCCCUCUUCAGGGUUGUAGAUGGCUGUUUUUUCCCUUUACCUCACAAUGCAGAAAGAGAGCAAGAGCUCUCGGGUUGCUUUUAUAAGGCACUAAUCCCAUUCACAAGGGGUUUACCUCCCAAAGGCCUCAUCUCCUAAUACCAUCACAUUGAGGGUGAAGAUUUCAAAAAUACGAAUUUGCAGGAGACAGGGGUGGGGGUGAAUUCAUUGCACUGGCUCAG
rnacentral:lncRNA from 1 species